rnacentral:tRNA from 1 species
CGGGGACUAGGUUAAGAAAACUUUGGGUUUCCAAAACUUGAGUUGGGGAAGCGUUCCCCGUCCCCGG